rnacentral:SRP_RNA from 1 species
CGGCAAGUCCUACACAACUAGCUCCUGUUGAAUCCUCCAGGUCGGGAACGAAGCAAAGGUAAAUAGUCGUAGCAGUGUGAUGUAGGGAGCUUGCCUUUU